UGAGUGUCCUUAUGAAUGUGUUCUGAGC
rnacentral:piRNA from 1 species